UUAACUAUUAUAUAGUACUCAGACGACAAUUAAACAAGAGUUUGGGUCCUCUGACGAGCACUGGCCAGCGUGAGCCGGCGGUCCCGAGAGACGGGCUCGUCAAAGCAACAAAGGUAUAAUAAACAAAGGGUGGGAGAUCUACCCCGAAGGGCAAGUUCUCAUUAAUGAUCCCUCCGCAGGUUCACCUACGGAGA
rnacentral:misc_RNA from 1 species